rnacentral:lncRNA from 1 species
GGCAGAGGGCGAGCUACUUCAUGAAGAUGGGGUACACCUGGGCCUUGGGAACAAAAGGUUUGGUCCGUAGUCGCCGGUGCCAAGGAAACAGAAAUCCGGCCCAUCUAAUAUUCCUUCCAGGACUGUCCUCGCGUCUCCUGGACACCCUUCAUCAAACCAGAGGCUUUCCCAGCCUGACCCUUCCUGCACCCA